rnacentral:rRNA from 1 species
GACGGAGGAUGCAAGCGUUAUCCGGAAUGAUUGGGCGUAAAGCGUACGCAGGUGGCAGUUCAAGUCUGCUGUCAAAGACCGGGGCUUAACUUCGGAAAGGCAGUGGAAACUGAACAGCUAGAGUAUGGUAGGGGCAGAGGGAAUUCCUGGUGUAGCGGUGAAAUGCGUAGAGAUCAGGAAGAACAUCGGUGGCGAAAGCGCUCUACUGGACCGCAACUGACACUCAGGGACGAAAGCUAGGGGAGCGAAUGGG